rnacentral:misc_RNA from 1 species
GAGCUACUCUUCCUACAAACAUUGAAAAGGUUCUGAUGCAUGAUCGCAUUCACUGGUUUGCAAUUGGUGACGAGGAUGAUGAUGACGAUGAUUAUUUCUCUGAUGACGAUGACGAUGAUUAUUUCUCUGAUGACGAUGACGAUGACGAUGACGAUGACGAUGGUGAUGGCAAUGAUGACAAUGAUAGUGGUGGUGAUGAUGACAAUGAUGAAACUGACGAUGAUUAUAAUGAUGAUGAUUGCGAUGAGGAUAUUGAUAAUUUUGUUGACGGUUAUGAUGAUGCAAAUGAUGAUUCUGAUUUACACUUUCUGUGUUCAGCUGAAACCGAAGGCUAGGGGCUGGAUG